rnacentral:rRNA from 1 species
CAGCCGCCGCGGUAAUACAGAGGGUGCGAGCGUUAAUCGGAUUUACUGGGCGUAAAGCGUGCGUAGGCGGCUUCUUAAGUCGGAUGUGAAAUCCCUGAGCUUAACUUAGGAAUUGCAUUCGAUACUGGGAAGCUAGAGUAUGGGAGAGGAUGGUAGAAUUCCAGGUGUAGCGGUGAAAUGCGUAGAGAUCUGGAGGAAUACCGAUGGCGAAGGCAGCCAUCUGGCCUAAUACUGACGCUGAGGUACGAAAGCAUGGGGAGCAAACAGGAUUAGAUACCCCGGUAGUUCCUGUCUCUUAUAC